AUUGGGGGCAUAGCAUGUCCUGUGUCCUUCGUGGUGUGCUCCUGAAAACCAGGCAUAAAUCAGAUCCUUGGAAAGCAAACCAUGUUUACCUGAUAGGAAGAAUGUUGCAAUUGAAGCUUGCUUUGCUGAUCCAGCAUUCGGCAUUAAAUUAAUCCUUUGUACCUUUCUCCCCCCAAGCUAUGCCAGCUGCAGGGAAGCGAGACCUCUGGGGCUGACUCCAGCCCUCCCCUACUGUCACCUGCUCUCAGCACCCCUGGAGGAAAGGGUAAUCCCCUCCUCCUUGUGAGGAGGCUCCUGAAGAGCCACACUGAGAGGGCUUCCCUGUGCCACCUCCUUGCCCCACUGUAGAACACGUGCAGAAGGUGUCCAGAGGAGGAAGCUGAAGCGCAGGAGGGUGAGGAUGACCUGAAUUUGCACCACUAAUAAUUGGACCUGUCCAGCCGACGCGGAGCCAGGUGACUCCCCACCCUUCCACUGUCGUCAGACCAUACGAGGAGCAUGGACAGACGAGGAGGCUCCGGGCUCUGCUGCCCACGCCGGGCUGGGCAUGGACUCCGGAAGGGUCUACUCACAGACGCUUUCCCUGAUAACCU
rnacentral:lncRNA from 1 species